GCAAAGUCAAGGUAUUGGAGUGGCCAUCACAAAUCCCUGACCUCAAUCCUAUAGAAUUUGUGGGCAGAACUGAAAAAGUGUGUGCGAGCAAGGAGGCCUACAAACCUGACUCAGUUACACCAGCUCUGUCAGGAGGAAUGGGCCAAAAUUCACCCAACUUAUUGUGGAAAGCUUGUGGAAGGCUACCCGAAACGUUUGAUUCAAGUUAAACAAUUUAAAGGCAAUGCUACCAAAUACUUAUUGAGUGUAUGUAAACUUCUGACCCACUGGAAAUGUGAUGAAAUAAAUAAAAGCUUAAAUAAAUCAUUCUCUACUAUUAUUCCGACAUUUCACAUUCUUAAAAUAAAGGGGUGAUCCUAACUGACCUAAGACAGGGCAUUUUUACUAGGAUUAAAUGUCAGGAAUUGUGAAAAAAUGUGUUUAAAUGUAUUUGGCUAAGGUGUAGGUAAACUUCCACUGUGCAUGUGUAUAUAUAUAUAUAUUAAAACAUUAUUUUUUACAAUUCAGUCAUGAUGGCCCAACCUUAGCUGGGCCUCCAGACAAGACAGAUGAAGGAGGCAUUCUUUGAGACCAGGGUUUGACAGGACAUCCAGGAGGAGAGAGCCAAUCAUCUCAGAUGGUUAGAAAAGGAGAGGUGAGGAAGGAGAGUGACUUUGCUACAGGCCAACCUAAGCUCUCUACCAGACGGGUCCUACAUAACAGGACAGGUAAGCAUGUCGAAGUCAAAAUGGACCUGUUUGCCUCUAAAAUGGCAUCAAAUGGAAUGCAUAUUGCUCCCCCCCCCCCCCCCGAGUAUGAGAGCUGCUUUCAUCCAUUUUCUUUUUCACAAUCAAAGCGUCUAUUCUGUUUGUACCUUCCAGGCACCGGUGGGCACGCCUUCCUUUUGCAUGUACUCCAGCAGUCAUCUGGAGAUCAGGCAAAGAGCUCUGAGGCUCUUCCAGCAGGCAGCCCGCAAGGUACAGUACUUAGCCCUCUCUCUUUCACUCCAUUGGCCUUAGAUUAGGCCCUAAAGGCAUC
rnacentral:lncRNA from 1 species